rnacentral:rRNA from 1 species
AUGCGCCUGACGUGGACGGCCUUGGCCGCCGACGAGAGCCGCGGUCGCCACGUGCGGGCCAUGGCCGAGAGCGACUCCAACGAAACCAUGGCCGUCGUCACGAGGGCGAGCGCGCUGCGCCAACGGCUGGUGCCCCAGAAGGCGCCGCCAAAGCGCACGGCAGAGGACGGCGCUGAGCAGCGGGCGGUAUCGUCGGAUCUGGCAGCUGCCGAGAAACCGCGCGACGCACUGAAUCCUGAUUCACACCCACUGAUGAGUUGCCCAAGGCAAUGCUUGUUGCAGCAGCAAUUUAUGACUAGAGCCGGGCAGAACAAUCUCUCAAAUGGACCGGGGACCUCUCUUAUUGACAGCAUAGAUUUUGAUCAGAUUGUUAUUCCUGAGGAUUUGCAUGCGACAUUCCUGAAGUUUGUGAUAGGGAAACUGUCAGUAAUUGGAACUGCUUUUGCUUUGAACAUGCCCUUCAAAAUUCUGAUAUGGUGUGGUGUUCUCAUAAGUGGGCUCAGCACUCUGAUGCCCCUGUUCCUGCAACAAUACAAGAUCAAGAGUGAUACCGAAGAAGUGAAGAUGCAAGUGGGAGUCAGUAAUUACUGUACUCCGAAACACUGGAGCGUGUCAGGAAUGUGUGGUAUAAACAUGAUGGUGUGGUUCCCCCUACAUCAUUGCUUGAAGUCUUAUUUGAGGUUUCAUCAUGUUUUUGUGAUUUAG